GCAGAGUCCCUCAGGAUGGUCAGGGGGAGGAGGUACAAGGGCCCUCAGGAUGGUCAGGGGGAGGAGGUGCAGGGUCCCUCAGGAUGGUCGGGGGAGGAGGUCGGGGUCCCUCAGGAUGGUCGGGGGAGGAGGUCCGGGGCCCUCAGGAUGGUCGGGGGAGGAGGUGCAGGGUCCCUCAGGAUGGUCAGGGGAGGAGGUACAAGGGCCCUCAGGAUGGUCAGGGGGAGGAGGUCCGGGGCCCUCAGGAUGGUCGGGGGAGGAGGUCGGGGUCCCUCAGGAUGGUCGGGGGAGGAGGUCGGGGCCGCCGCGCUGGUCAGGCGGGGACUCCCCUGAGGCUCUCACUCCGCACGGCGCACGUGCAGCUCUUUCGAAGCGAGAGCCCCGCAUCAGCACACGGACCCGCGCCCGGGCCCCGGGUUCCCGCUCCGGCACCGCCCGCAGCACCUCAGCGACACUCACCUCCAGCCCCACCGUUCGCCGGAAGCGCUCGAUCCCCAGCGCGGCGGCGCGGCACUUCCGGUUACGCUCUAGGCCGCGGGAGGCCGUGCACUCGGCUGCUCCCCGCGCGGGCUCCGCAUCAGGCGCGCUGGUCCUUCCUCCCGCGCGGGUCUUAGCCGGGACCCCCCGCUCCCGCCCGCCGGCCUCCAGCCAGGCCCGGGGUCCGGCGUCUGCAGAGGGGAUACCGCAGAGAGGUGCCCACAGCACCCCAUGCGGAGGCCCACCGUGUCCAUCAGCUCUUCACUGGCGAGUGAUCGUUGUGACAUGUGGUCAGAUGUCGCCUGUUGUCUUCCCUCCUCAACCAGUAAGCCAUCCUGGAGGAGGAAGGCCGAGGGAGCGCGGCCAGGGCAGGGUAUGACGCCAGGAAGGACACUGCCGGUGACCCCAGUGGACACGGUCCACGAGGCAGAACUGGAGGCUGUGCUGGGCUCAAGGGUUGGAUCCGUGCGCCUGAAUUUGGUGACUGUCCUGUGGUUUCGUAAGAGAACACCCUUGAGAAUCGGGAGCGCACAAAGGCACUGCGAGGCCGAGGGUUCCCAAACCGUUCUACAAAGGGUUGGGAGAGGGACGCCCGGGAGGCUCAGCGGUUGAGCAUCUGCCUUGGUUGAGCAUCUGCCUUCGGCUCAGGGCGUGACCCCGGGGUCCUGGGAUCGAGUCCCUUCUCAGGCUCCCUGCAUGGAACCUGCUCCUCCCUCUGCCUCUCUCUCUCUCUCUCUCUGUCUCUCAUGAACAAAUAAAUAAAACCUUUAAAAAUAAUAAUGGGGAAAAAUGGGUUUGGGUUCCCCUCCUGGCUUGCAUGAACUACUCUGACAACCAGGGGCCAGAAGAGGGCUUUUUUGUUGCCGGCCACAGCCGUGACUCCAUCCUGACGUUAUUUUCUGGCAGGUUCCAGGGUGUGUGUGUGAGGGGGCCACUGUUUGCAUCUGCUUGGGACCCUCUGGUUGGAGCAGCCCUUUCCUCCCGGGCAGUGGUCCCCUCCCUCUGUUCCCCGAGGUCAUUUGGAGUCUGAGGCCACACAGGUCCGGGCCUGCAGGGGAGAGGAGAGGUGACUGCCAGGAACCCCGCCUGCCCAGCGUUGCUGAAGCAGCUCCUCACCCUGUGGGCUGCCCCCCAGCUUCCAAGUCGGUGUGCGCCCCGGACGGUGCCAAGGACUUGCUGCUGCUCACGCUGCUGCUUUGGCGGGGGUCCUGGACAGUAAGGGCCCGGCCCUGGGUCAGUAGGGCCUGGCGGGGCUGAAGGCCAAACACACCGACUGGCCUGUGCCCCAGCCACGCAUGGGGUCUGUCCCUCUGCUAGCGCAGCCCGUCUGUACCCCGUCACUGCGUCAGUCGCCUCUCCUCAUAUUAAGAACCCUGAGGGGGAGAGAGAGAUGGACGGGGGUGGGGGUGGGGGUGGGGGGUUACCUUGCAGACGUGGAAGAGGGGAUUUCGAGAGGAAGGACCUGGCACAGGGAAAACGGAGGUGGCCCUCCCUGGGUCAGGAUAUCCUAUUUUGUGCCCACAGACGCUCCCAGUCUCCGUGGCUGGAAACCACAGAGGCUGGCGCUCAGGCCCCGUGGGCGGGCUCUGCCCGGGCGCCCGCCUCAUUCUGGGGCCGGGCCGGGAACAGGCGCCGUGGGAACCUGGGAGAAGGCCCGCGGCCCUCCCAGUCCCCUAUUGGGCAACGCCAGCACAGCCGGGCCCCAGGGAGGUGAGGUGUGUGCAAGCCCCCCGGGGCCAAGGGAAAGGGUGGUCCAGACCCCGGAGGACGCCUGGCAGGCGGAAUGAGCCCCGGUCUGAGGCCCCACCCCCGCCAGGGCAGUGCCCAUUCCCAGGAUGUCCGAGAAGGGGGCAGGACGGGGGCGGCUCCGGAAGCCUCCUCAGCACCUGCAGCACCUGCGGCCUCCCGCACCGCCUGGGCCGGCCCUGCAGCCUCUCCUCCUCCUGCCCCCAAGGGCCGCCUGCAGGCACCCCCCCCAACCCUGCAUCUUCCCGGCAGGUGGCACCCGGAAACCCCCACCGCGCUCUGCAGUGUUUCUUUCUCAUUAAUUAUUAAAAGACACAGAAAAUAAAACAUUAGGGACGCCUGGGGGCUCAGCGGUUGAGCACCUGCCUCUGGCUCAGGGUGUGACACCAGGGUCCCCGCAGGGAGUCUGCUUCUCCCUCUGCCUGGGUCUCUGCCUCUCUCUGUGCCUCUCAAGAAUAAAUACACACAAUCCUAAAACAAAAACAAAAAUUUAAAAGGAUGAUCUCGAAGAAGUGAAGGUUUCCCUCCA
rnacentral:lncRNA from 1 species